rnacentral:lncRNA from 1 species
GUUGAUGCAAGAUUAUGUCUUUCAAUUCAAGUUCUUAUGUCUCCAAAUUGACAAUAUUUCAGAGGAAGAGAUGAUGGAGAAAUUUCUACAAGGAUUAAAACUUGAGAUCUAGUAAGAGGUGGAACUAAAGAAUCUACAAAUAUUUGAGGAGGCAAUUAGGAUUGCAGAGAGGAUCGAUACUAUAGAUUUCAAAAAUUGUGAAGCACAACCAAUAACACAAAGUCUUCUAUAGCUAUUUAAUACUAUGGCACAACAACCAAUGCCAAUGGAGAUUGAUGCCUUGCAAAGAUCAUUGAUACCACAAAGAUGACAAAUAUUAGCACAAAAAAAUUUAUUUUUUUAUUUUUGGCAGUCAAGCCAUUAGAUUGGAGAUUAUUCAAAAUAUCAAAAUUUAAUCACCAAAAAAUCAAGGUAGAUUUAUAGUCUCGAGACUCACAAAAUCAAGAAUGAGAUGG